CUACUUUUUUUAAGUUUGGCAAUAUGUCUCCUAGAGUAUGACACAUCUAGUUUGAAGGUAACCAUUACAUUUUAGUCAGUAUUCGAUGUUGGACGAGACACUGUUCUGUGCCGCUAGUUUGCAACCGAAAUUUUGUUAUUUACCUAGAGAGACUUGUGUUGGUCGGUUGUCCGCAAAAAAUACUCAAGAAUGUCUAUUAAAGGAAUUUAAUUAAAAAACAAUACUUGAAACGUUAUUAUUUUAAUAGUAUUAAGCAGAUAUAAACACAGCUUGCAUCAUCAAAAAGGAUAUUGUUUAUAACGUCUGCAUAUUCCGCCAUAUAACGAAAUUCUGUCAAAUGCGUCUAGUAUUGGGUGUUUGAGCAGAGGCAAGAAACCUUAGGCCCUACUUGGGACUGCAAUCUACCCAUUCGCAAGAAUUAGGAGCUGGCUGCCAGUCUUCAUCAUCUUGACCACUUACCAAAAAAGUGGCA
rnacentral:lncRNA from 1 species